UGUAUUUCUUCCAUUAUGCUAUACAUUAUUUACAUUAUUUACAUUCGACGGAUAUUUGUCCUCAUCUUGUCUGUUGGUAACAAAACGUUUCAGCUGAUUUACCCUUCUUGGGGAAAUUUCAAAUCUGGGUUUAUCGUUCGUCACUACCUGGAAUCGAACCACUACGCCACAUGCUCGUAUGAUGAAGGUUGAAGGGUUUAUCGACCGAAACGUUGUGUUAACAAAAAACAAGAUGAGGAGAAAUAUCCGGCAAAUGUACAUAAUUCCUCAUCACUUAAAUAUAGAACUGUAUUAUCCUUUAUGCUAUGUUGAAGCAAACUACAGAAUUAAGCGCAUGACGGUACAAGGAAAGCAAAUCCUUAAUCUGGGACGCGACAUGCUGCGACACGUCCUCUCGCUGCAUUCUUGUUGCAUCGGCUGCGCACCCGGGUAUCACCACCCCUAACGCAGAAGAUGUGGAUAAAUCAAUAAAUUAAGGGUCCGACUGGCUGCUAUCAGUUUGUGUCGGUCGUCGUUGAGAUGUCUGGUAUUCUGGAACACUGCAUUUUCGCAAGAUCGAGAUAACGGGGCGCGUCUCAGAAACGAACUCGGCGAGGUGGAGUUGCUACUGUAGUGAGUGUCGCUGACCAUUCACCGCGGCAACACCAUCGGGGUCACGACUGAGGUGCAUAGCUGCGCACACCAUUCGUUCUUGAUUAUGCGGCCCCUCUAUCCAUCCACCUUGAUUUUCUUCUGUUUAUUCUCCAAUUUAUUUAUUUAUUUUUACUUUUCUGUUUUGCUUUUUUGCACUAUUGUAUUUUGUUUGAAA